UACAAAUAUAUACAAGAAAUAAUGAUAUUUAAUUAUCUUGGGUUCUGCUUGUUGGUUUAUGAUACUUUUUCCCUGACUUUAUAUCAGAGAAAAGCCCCUGUGUCUCUAGUAGGCUACUAGUAGUUCGACAGGUGACGAUUAUUAUCAUAUUACAACAUAUAGGCUAACAUAACACUUGCAGAACUAGUAUGGUUCGAUGCUGAAUUAAUAUAAACGAGUAUGUUUAUGACAUUCAGUAUAUAGUUCAUAAUUUCCAGUCUUAAUAUAAAUCCGUCUGACCGUGUAGGUCAGUUGGUAGAGCGUCGAUCUAGUAAUUCGAAGGUCGCGGGUUCAAUACCCAGCCGCGGCAGACAAUAUAUUUCUGCUUGGGCAGUUGCGCUGGGUAUGGAAAUUAUG